AAUGAACGUUGGCGGCGUGGAUUAGGCAUGCAAGUCGAGCGAGAACCGUAGCAAUACGGGGACAGCGGCGAAAGGGACAGUAAUGUGUAGGUACCUACCCCCGGGUUCGGGAUAGCUGCGGGAAACUGCAGGUAAUACCGAAUAAUGUCUUCGGACCAAAGGUGUGAUUCCACCUGGGGAGGGGCCUGCAUCCUAUUAGCUUGUUGGGGGGGUAACGGCUUACCAAGGCGACGAUGGGUAGCGGGUGUGAGAGCAUGACCCGCGUCAUUGGGACUGCGACACUGCACAGACACCGACGGGUGGCUGCAGUCGAGGAUCGGCGGCAAUGGGCGCAAGCCUGACCGAGCGACGCCGCGUGCGGGAUGAAGGCCUUCGGGUUGUAAACCGCUGUCGUAGAGGAGGAAAUGCAGGAGGGUUCUCCCUUCUGUUUGACCUAUUCUAGGAGGAAGUACGGGCUAAGUUCGUGCCAGCCGCCGCGGUAA
rnacentral:rRNA from 1 species